rnacentral:rRNA from 1 species
UACGUAGGGGGCAAGCGUUGUCCGGAAUCAUUGGGCGUAAAGAGCGCGUAGGCGGUCCGGUAAGUCCGCUGUGAAAGUCGAGGGCUCAACCCUCGAAUGCCGGUGGAUACUGCCGGGCUAGAGUCCGGAAGAGGCGAGUGGAAUUCCUGGUGUAGCGGUGAAAUGCGCAGAUAUCAGGAGGAACACCAAUGGCGAAGGCAGCUCGCUGGGACGGUACUGACGCUGAGGAGCGAAAGCGUGGGGAGCGAACAGG